AGCUCCAAUAGCGUAUAUUAAAGUUGUUGCCGUUAAAAAGCUCGUAGUUGGAUUUCUGGUAGGAGCGGCCGAUCCGCCCCGUUAGGGGUGUGCAUUAGCGCUGUCUCUGGCCAUCCUUGGGGGAACUGCGCGGGGAGACUUGCGUUCGGGAACCCAUCGUUUACUGUGAAAAAAUUAGAGUGUUUAAAGCAGGCUUAUGCCGUUGAAUACAUUAGCAUGGAAUAAUAAGAUAGGACCGCGUGGUCGUCUUGUUGGUUUGCACCGCGAGGUAAUGAUUAAUAGGUACAGUUGGGGGUAUUCGUAUUUAAUUGUCAGAGGUGAAAUUCUUGGAUUUAUGAAAGACGAACUUCUGCGAAAGCAUUUACCAAGGAUGUUU
rnacentral:rRNA from 1 species